ensembl:rRNA 5S_rRNA 5S ribosomal RNA
GCUUACGGCCACACCAGUUUGAGAACGCCCAAUCUCAUUUGACCUUUGAAACUAAGCAAAUUUGGACCUGGAUAGUACUGAGGUGGGACCCUACCUAGGAAUACCAGCUGCUGUAGGCU